UACGGGGGGUGCGAGCGUUAAUCGGAAUUACUGGGCGUAAAGGGUGCGUAGGUGGUUUAAUAAGUUAUGUGUGAAAUUCCUGGGCUUAACCUGGGACUGUCAGAUAAGACUGUUAGACUCGAGUAUGGGAGAGGGUAGUGGAAUUUCCGGUGUAGCGGUGAAAUGCGUAGAGAUCGGAAGGAACACCGGUGGCGAAGGCGGCUACCUGGCCUAAUACUGACACUGAGGCACGAAAGCGUGGGGAGCAAACAGGG
rnacentral:rRNA from 1 species